UGGGGAAUUUUGGACAAUGGGCGAAAGCCUGAUCCAGCCAUGCCGCGUGAGUGAAGAAGGCCUUCGGGUUGUAAAGCUCUUUUAGUCGGAAAGAAAGAGUUGCAAUGAAUAAUUGUGAUUUAUGACGGUACCGACAGAAAAAGCACCGGCUAACUACGUGCCAGCAGCCGCGGUAAUACGUAGGGUGCGAGCGUUAAUCGGAAUUACUGGGCGUAAAGGGUGCGCAGGCGGUCUUGCAAGUCAUAUGUGAAAGCCCCGGGCUUAACCUGGGAAUUGCGUUUGAAACUACAAGGCUAGAGUGCAGCAGAGGGGAGUGGAAUUCCAUGUGUAGCAGUGAAAUGCGUAGAGAUGUGGAAGAACACCGAUGGCGAAGGCAGCUCCCUGGGUUGACACUGACGCUCAUGCACGAAAGCGUGGGGAGCAAACA
rnacentral:rRNA from 1 species